rnacentral:rRNA from 1 species
UGGGGAAUAUUGGACAAUGGGCGCAAGCCUGAUCCAGCCAUGCCGCGUGUGUGAAGAAGGCCUUUUGGUUGUAAAGCACUUUAAGCGAGGAGGAGGCUACUUGGAUUAAUACUCUAGGAUAGUGGACGUUACUCGCAGAAUAAGCACCGGCUAACUCUGUGCCAGCAGCCGCGGUAAUACAGAGGGUGCGAGCGUUAAUCGGAUUUACUGGGCGUAAAGCGUGCGUAGGCGGCUUUUUAAGUCGGAUGUGAAAUCCCUGAGCUUAACUUAGGAAUUGCAUUCGAUACUGGGAAGCUAGAGUAUGGGAGAGGAUGGUAGAAUUCCAGGUGUAGCGGUGAAAUGCGUAGAGAUCUGGAGAAAUACCGAUGGCGAAGGCAGCCAUCUGGCCUAAUACUGACGCUGAGGUACGAAAGCAUGGGGAGCAAACAGG